rnacentral:rRNA from 1 species
UGGGGAAUUUUGGACAAUGGGCGAAAGCCUGAUCCAGCAAUGCCGCGUGUGUGAAGAAGGCCUUCGGGUUGUAAAGCACUUUUGUCCGGAAAGAAAUCCUUGGCUCUAAUACAGUCGGGGGAUGACGGUACCGGAAGAAUAAGCACCGGCUAACUACGUGCCAGCAGCCGCGGUAAUACGUAGGGUGCAAGCGUUAAUCGGAAUUACUGGGCGUAAAGCGUGCGCAGGCGGUUUGCUAAGACCGAUGUGAAAUCCCCGGGCUCAACCUGGGAACUGCAUUGGUGACUGGCAGGCUAGAGUAUGGCAGAGGGGGGUAGAAUUCCACGUGUAGCAGUGAAAUGCGUAGAGAUGUGGAGGAAUACCGAUGGCGAAGGCAGCCCCCUGGGCCAAUACUGACGCUCAUGCACGAAAGCGUGGGGAGCAAACAGGAUUAGAUACCCUGGUAGUCCACGCCCUAAACGAUGUCAACUAGUUGUUGGGGAUUCAUUCCUUAGUAACGUAGCUAACGCGUGAAGUUGACCGCCUGGGGAGUACGGUCGCAAGAUUAAAAACUCAAAGGAAUUGACGGGGUCAUAGCUGUUUCCU